rnacentral:tRNA from 1 species
UAGCUCAGUUGGUUGAGCGUGGUGCUGAUAACACCAAGGUCGUGAGUUCGAUCCCCGU